rnacentral:rRNA from 1 species
AUACGGAGGGUGCAAGCGUUAUUCGGAAUCACUGGGCGUAAAGGACGCGUAGGCGGGUUGGCAAGUCAGAUGUGAAAUCCUACAGCUUAACUGUAGAACUGCAUUUGAAACUGCUAACCUAGAGUAUGGGAGGGGGAGAUGGAAUUAGUGGUGUAGGGGUAAAAUCCGUAGAUAUCACUAGGAAUACCGAAAGCGAAGGCGAUCUCCUGGAACAUAACUGACGCUGAGGCGUGAAAGCGUGGGGAGCAAACAGGAUUAGAUACCCUAGUAGUCC